GCUAAUUUUUAACAAUACAGGCAACUUUAGUUAUAACUAAAGCCCAGUUCCCUCCCCUGCAGAGGUAGCCUGCCCUGUCCAGCCUGCCCAGUCCCGCCUGCCCUGUCCCGCCUGCCCUGUCCUGCCUGCCCAUUUGCAAAUAAGAUAAAAUCCCUACGUCUCUUGGGACAAUUAAGAGCUUCCAAGGCCUGCAGCGGGAAGCUGAGAUGCGCUCCUGGCUGUGGGGGCUGCCCAGUUCCAGUCCGGGUCCCACCCUUGUUUGGCACCCUGCCUUGCCUGUUCUGAAAGCUGGAAGCAUCUGGGUGUGGCUGGCCCCAGACACCAUGGGAGACAGGACUGUGCUCCAGGAUGCCAAAGGCACAAUCCUGAGUUACUCCGCCGCUACUGAGUGAACCCAGUGAAUGUAGUGGAUGGCCCAGUACCGACGUCCCAGGACUGCUGGCUGUUCUUUCCUGGUUAUGACAGACAUAGUAACUAAUAAAGUGAUUUAAAACGUUCUUUGUAAAUAAAUGCUCUGAAAUCAUGACGCUGACCCUCUCAAAUGUCUAAGGAGGGACUCUCCAUGAGUGACAUGCUUUGUGUUAAAAGUAUUUAUUUGCAAUCAGGGACUUCGGUCUGUGGUGGCCGUUUCUAAAAGCUGUCUAACAUGUCUUUAAAUACCAUGCCCGGAAGUGGCUUCCGUUUAUGGAAGUCUCAGUUUCUGGUUUCUGGAAGUU
rnacentral:lncRNA from 1 species